rnacentral:rRNA from 1 species
GAUGAACGCUGGCGGCGUGCUUAACACAUGCAAGUCGAACGGAAAGGCCCAAGCUUGCUUGGGUACUCGAGUGGCGAACGGGUGAGUAACACGUGGGUGAUCCGCCCUGCACUUCGGGAUAAGCCUGGGAAACUGGGUCUAAUACCGGAUAGGACGAUGGUUUGGAUGCCAUUGUGGAAAGUUUUUUCGGUGUGGGAUGAGCUCGCGGCCUAUCAGCUUGUUGGUGGGGUAAUGGCCUACCAAGGCGUCGACGGGUAGCCGGCCUGAGAGGGUGUACGGCCACAUUGGGACUGAGAUACGGCCCAGACUCCUACGGGAGGCAGCAGUGGGGAAUAUUGCACAAUGGGCGCAAGCCUGAUGCAGCGACGCCGCGUGGGGGAUGACGGCCUUCGGGUUGUAAACUCCUUUCGCUAGGGACGAAGCGUUUUUGUGACGGUACCUGGAGAAGAAGCACCGGCUAACUACGUG